rnacentral:lncRNA from 1 species
CCAUCGGCCGUUGCCAGUCCCUCCCGAGCCUCCUUGCCUCAUGGGAGGAGAGGAGAAGAAGAGGGGGAGGAGAUCGUGGUGGAAAUGGAAGAAUAAAGGGAGAAGCUUCGGAAAGGAAGAAGAAAGGAGGAGAGAGGAAAAGAAAAACAAAAGAAAGAAAAAAAUGGUGGGCCAUAGUUGAACUUAAAUGUGAAAUUGGGUUAUUGGAUUCAAAGCCCAAUAUUCCAAUUUCAAACUAGAAAACCCGAGGAAGAAAGGACCUCAAUGGCCAUGGGCCGAAUUAUCGAUGUAGGCCCGUAAUCAGACUAGGCUCAGUCCGAGCCAAGUAGUUGUGAACUCAAAACUACUUGGGCCUGAAGUGCACAAACCUUAAUAGAAGGCUAUUGGGUCCAAACCAGAAGAUGAAAUUGGCUAAGACUUGUGCCAGAAACUGAAUCAGACCUGAAUCAAAUAUUGAAUCAGGUCUGAACCAGAAGCUGACCUAGACCUGAACUAGGUUAGGGACCUAAGAAUGAAAUUGAGUUCUAU